rnacentral:tRNA from 1 species
GGUAAAAUGGCUGAGCAAGCAGUAAACUGUAACUCUAAAGACAGAGGUUAAGACCUCUUUUUACCA